GCAGACAAAGCCAAACCCGUUGAGAGACGGGGACGGAAAGCCACGGGUCCUUCGGGACAGCCGGGUUGCCACGU
rnacentral:ncRNA from 1 species